GGAGCAGACACAGAGUUCAGUGGAUGGGCUUCUCCGACACCCUGAGCUGCUCAGGAAAUAAUAAACACAAGAAAUGGCGAGUCACUCCCAGAAAAAGGUAAAUAAAUACCAAGGAGAAGAGACGGAUCAGCCCUGGCUGUCACAUGAAAUAACCAGAAUUUGGAAAGAGUCAUAAAAUCAUGGGAUGUGUAAAAAUAGAACCUGGUAGAACUCCUAAAAUCCCAGGAGGGCCUCGGUCAUUGGAUCUCCAGGUCAAGGUAAGAAGGAAUAAGGACAAAGAAACAAAAUGCUUACAUUUUUGCCAUCACUUUUGCUGUGGGAUGCAAGUGUGUUUCGCAAGCAUUUUCCUGUAAUGUGGGCUUUGUCAGACACCACACAAACUUGGAGCCUGGGGGAGCCCUGAGCAGCUUUAGCAAGCUUGUCCUCCCAUAAAGGGUCAGAAAGAAAGUGUUUAUGGUUUUGCAC
rnacentral:lncRNA from 1 species